ACAUGUCAGUUUGUCUGUGGCGUUGCUACUCUUCUUGCUUCGGUAAUCAAGUGUCUCUGUCUCUGGCUCUGUGCCGGUCCAACUUGCAUCUUCCUGAAAUGAAUAUGUGGGUGUUGGACUUAGAUUGCGAAGUCCGAAACAGUGGAGGAGGGGGGAAAUUCUAGGAUGUCUCUCCACCAAUAAGUACAUAGCUAGCUACCGGAUAUGCUUUGCAAGCAAGUAUAAAUUCGUCGAGGGGCUUCCGGUCACAUUACAUCAAGCAAGAGGAACAUGGAGCUGGUUACAGACGCGUGGCUCAGUCUGCGCAGACUAAACUCGAAUUUUGUUUACCCAUAUUGUUUGAUGGACGCUAGAAGAUUAUACAUUGAAAACUGUAGUGAGUGAACGUCCAACUAAUCCCUAUUAUGUAAUUUGGCAAGGAACUCAGUGAAAAGGCCAUUAGCUAAUGGCUAACUAUCUACUUACGACUCGUUCAAGGAAAGUCUGAGGCCAUUACGAGCACCACAAUCAUGUGCGGAGACUGCGCACGUGGUCCGCAGCAUGGCCCUCGAGUCCACGUUGGGACAAUGGAACCCCUUGUGUUCUCUUGAGGGAAUCGUAGAGUUAAUGUGGCUUGUCUUGGAGCAGGUGGCGUGUAAGCCAUUAACAGCGUGGCUCCUUUCUACGAAGGAACCCUGCAGCAUUCUGGUUUCCCUCAAAGACAUGAAGAUGCAGUCAUGGGAGUCCAAUGUGGUGCAAAAUGAAUACCACGGAGAGACUUCAACUAAUACAACUCAAUUUAUUCAUUUAAGUUGUCCAAUAAAGUUAAAUUUGUAGUGGAAUGUUUGGUUUUCAUUUAUAUCGUAACUGUAUGCACUGUCUUUGAACCAGCAGAGCCCUCUCCAUGGCUCUGUAGGCCAAGCUACAGCUGCAAGAACAAAUCAAAGGCUUGUUAUAACUGGGGUUACUUGGCAUUUCAUCCCAAGUUUCUCUUUUAAAUGCAACUCACAUCUACUCACUAAUAUUUGUCAUGUGUGUGUAUUCUGAGCUUUAAUCUGAAUACUUAAUGAUUGAAGUACCAUUCCCUAAUUUUAGAGCUACAAGGAAUAAACCAGUAUUGUUAUAGGCAGAUGAAAUCAACCUUUUUUUUUAGCUCUGCAUACUAUUUAUUCAGUGACAUUUUAACCUGUUGUGUGAUCUGUGCAAAUGUCCCUAUAUCUCAAAAGCACAAAGUCACGAUGGCCCAAACAACCACUCAUUAGUUUGAAUGAGCCUAGGAUGAGGUACUGUCGUCAAAGCACGACUAGUUACAUGCAAGCAAUGUUUUAUUGAUCAGAACUGUAGUGACAUCGCUUGAUGCAACAAAUUCCAGAUAUAUUUUUCCCAUCACUGCAAAUGUAAUGAUCGGUGGCGUAUGAGGAAAGAACCUAUGACAUGACUUCACACGCACACUUGACUUAGCUGUAAACAUUUGACUAGAAUUUCUUGUUAUUCAAGUGGCACUUCUGCCUCAUACACAAACAUUUGAACAAAGUUGUGGCAAACCCAAAUGUUACCGGUUAAAGUUAUUGGCAAAUUUCAUGAAUCUGAAAUUUGCGGGGAAGUUUAUUUUUCAUAUGUACAUAGCAUGAAGUAGGGUAUUUCAAGACAGGAAAUUGAUAACGAAAAGCUGUCAUAUUUGCUGAAUGGCUCAUGUUUCCAUUGGUUGAGCGGUAUGGCUAACAUAAGUUAUGGCUGUUUGAAUCACCAGCUGCAGGCAUCUAAACAUGUUCAGAAUCUGAGUGUGUGAAAGCUGUACCGUGUCCUAGCUGGUGAACGUGGUCUAAGAUAGUGGUGCUCAACCGCCGGGCCCUGGGAUGUUGCUGAUCAGUCCCUCCGAUGGGUGUCUGACAAUGAAGUAAUGUAGCGCAGUGGUGCUCCAAAGAGGAAACGCAUAGUUUUGGCAGUAACUAAGCAUGCCUUGUCCGAACCACAAUGGACCACGGGGCAGGAGCCUAUCUCCUGUUUCUGUAUUGUGAGACUUGCUGUACAAGGUCACCCCCUGAAUAAGACACCAGCUUUGCCAGUUGCUGGUACAAAAAAGGUUGAGAAACAGUUUUAAAAAGAGGUGUGUGAAAGUGCUGCUUGGCUUAUAAGACGAGACAAAUGCAUUUGACCUCUGCGUUUUAAAACAGUUGACAGAAUAUUAACUCUGGAAAUAUCUCCUACCACUGCCAAAGUAAUGACUAGAUUCAAUCAGAUCAAGCAUUUACCAGGGAUAGACGAUACCCGCAAAGCUAAUGUUUUGGAGGUGUAACUUGAAGCUGUGAAAUCGGUGAGCAGCUGCUCUUGUGAUCAUUGUCACAAAGCCACACCGGCCCACACAUUAGAAGUUCAGAAUGAGAAAGUAUAGUCUAUAUAGAAAUAAUGACACUCAAAUUGAAAAUCAACAAAAAAUAUAUAAUUUCUAUCAGCAUAAUUAAGGUGUAGAAAACAUCUCACAUUCCAAUGUUGGAACUUGUAAACGGGUCUGCAUAGGAUUUCUCUUAAUGCGACUCAAAACACAAUGGCAAUGUCUGCUUUAGGUAUAAUUCCAGAAGCCGCUUGUGGAUUUGACUGCUCUAAUGCAGUUCCACCAGCAAAACAACCAUUAUGUAGAUGUCGCCUAGAGCGGAUCUGAUUGAAUCGAGCCCUAAGUCAGCAGUCUAUUAGGGUCCUUUAUAUUUGACCCAGUUAGGGAACUGCCUGCUUUACAUGUACAUUCAUUAGGCCUUCUGUCUACACUACACACCUCUUUUGACAUCAUAGCUGUAAGACUUGUGACAAUACAUAGAUUUAUGGUUGGUAUUUGUACACAUCAACAAUGUGGUUUGACUUCAGAAUGGCUGAGGCAAUGGUGGACAGAAGACACUGAAGGCCCUAUGCAUUUGAUGAAAGCUCCCAAGCUAUACAGUCAGUAACUACUAUAUAUGGCCUUCAUCUGUGACUUACUCGGGUUUCAUACCUAUGCCACAAGAGUGUGUGAGCACGCUGAGCUAAAGCAUAGACAUCUUGAGGAUCCAACACACAUUUUCAGGUCUCAGGCAAGGGUAUUCAGUAACUACCACAUGCAGUUAGAGUUGUUUUGGGGGUAGGAUGGUAUUGUUGACCUGUUUGCAUAAGGAAUGCCACGCGAUGGAUGGGGAGGGGGCGGAGAGAGGGAUAGACAUUGUCUCACAAUGCCCAUAUGUGCAUUAGAUGAUGAAGCAUGUGACAAAUCACACACACACACAGCCUUCUCUCUAUGACCAUCUACACCCAUUCUUUUUUCAUGGGUUUCGGGUCUGAAAGUCAAUGGAAAAAGAAAUGCAGGGAAUAUCAUGGAAUUCGAUUAGUACACACACUUUUCAUGUUCAUCUAUGACGUUUGGUGUAGCUGCUGUAUAUCACAGGUAGUGUGGUUCUUCAGUUUACACUGCAUGGCAAUUUGUCUGACCACACACACACUUACAAUCCAAAUGGUCUGUGAAUCCAGGUGAAUCCAUGACCUGUCUGAUUGACACCGUGCUCGGAUUAAUAUUCCCUCAAACCAAUGAUGCAGUAUUUCCCAGCCAAGUGCGAAGUAUCUCACUUCCUGGUAGAGGAUCCACAGUCGAGUGGCUGUGGGAUUGGCCCACUGUCCUGAGGGGAGGACAGUAAGCCCCGCCCACUGCGACGCUGGCACCAGUGGUUACUGGGAUGUCAGGUCGCCAGUGACUUAUCCUUAGCAACACCCCAGAAACGGAGAGUCUUGUUGUCUUCACACGUCAAAGAGUUCAGGCUCCGAGAGGUCUGGGUCCCUCAAGGCAUCGGUCGAUGUUGUCACAGUUGCCAGGUUGGCAUUAGAACGGGUGUCCAUGGCAGAGUGCAUGAUGGGUAGCCAGAGGUCGUCCAUGUUUGGCAUCACAAAUAUUUUCUGUGAGAACAAAAACGAGAACUUGAGUAACUAGGAGUAAAACAGAAAACACUUCAAGCUAAAGGUGUGCCACGAAUAUUUAUUACAUUUAUGAUAAGCCUUUUGUCUGUGCAUGUUUGACAAGAACACACAUCUUAGUUUAUCACUUGAAUGCUGAACGAGGUGCUUUGGUCUAGCUGGUAUCACAAAAUAGCAAUUUAUAGUAGUUAUACAGUAUGUGUUUCUGUGAAAACAACAAACAGGCCUCAACACCAGUUACAGCAGAAAGGCAGAUUUCGGACAAAAACCCAGGAGACUGCAGUCAAUCUUAUUCUGUGUGAUUGGAUUUGGGGAUUGUCUGGAGUCUGGUAUUUUUGGGAAGCCAUACAUGGUGACUCACAACUGAUUUGUGCGUACUUCUGUGCCUGAGUGUGUGUGGUAAGGAUAAUAAUAAUGUAGCGAAGUCUCAAACAGGGAUACAUGUAGUUCUACUUCGUAGCCUGGCAGAAUAACUGAGUUGUGAACAGGUGUGCCUCAGGGCAGAGUUCUAGGAGCAGCCUGAUCAUUAUAUGAAGACAGAGAGCCACAAGCAUACUGUCUUUGAAGUACAGCUUGGUGGGCUGCUGUAAAUACAUCACACACCACUCUUCUGUUGUCCCAGUCCCAUCAUUGUCUAACACUGGGAAGACAUUCACUUUGUUGACAAGGGAAGAGAUGCAAAGCUUUCGAUACAUAUUGAACAAAAGAUACAUUCAUGUGAUGAUAUGAUUAAUCAAAUUGUAUUAACAAAUAGUUAGGGGGACUUAGAUCUUUCUGACCAGGAAAGACUAUAGAGCCCAGAGAUGUUCCCAGGCAGAUCCCAUGUUCAGGGAAAGCUCAGUCAAAGCUCCUGGAUUUCAGAUCACACAAUACAGUUAUUACAUAAUCCAAGUAGAGAGCUGUUAAUGCUCUACUCUCCCUGUUCUCAGCGUACCUGAAACUCCUGAUCCAGUUUCUUCUCGAUCCAGUCGGUGACGUGGGCCAGCGUGACCUCCCUCUCACCCAGCUUGGGCCGGGCUUUCAGCUCCAAGUGGGGGGGACUCCUGAAGCCAUACCUGGACGGGGAAGGUUCCCUAUGUUACACCCAUUUGCUUACUGUAUCCUACUAUCCUGGAGAAGGUUUCUCUUAUACCCGUUGAACUACAUGUCCAUGGGGAUUUCUGGGGGAUCCUCUUCGUCAGACGAUCCAGCACUGGAGGACUCUUCGUCACUGUCUGCCAGGCAGUAGGCCCGAGGUCUGGGCCUUUACACACACAAAACAUGAGAACAAAGGGGAUGAGUAAUAGUCAGCUUUAAGAAAUGGAAGUGGAAAACAGAUGAAAAUUAGUAUGAGCAAUUGUCUGUUGUUAUUGGGGAGCGGUGUUGGCAGCAUUUGUGUCUAGGAAGCCCUCAGCAAAUCCAGUCUGGACACAGCAGUUCGUUCCAACGGUCAAAGCUGACACUCCUUCAGUCCUGAACGGGGACUAACAUGUACCCUAGACUAAAGCCUAAAGGACUCCCAUGUGGUACAGCAUGAGAAGUCAUGUUUCUGCUCACAAGGCCAUGCCCACUGUUUGCAGAGGGAGUUUCUUCCCUUUUCGUCAAACCAAGUUCACUCCGAAGAGGAUUCACUGAGCAGCUCAAAGACUAUCAUCAAAUCCCCUAUGAAACAUUCCCAGAACGAUUGAUCCCUCAGAGGCCUCGGCUGGGAAAUAGCCUGGUCAGUGGUCACCGACCGGUUGAUCACGGUCGACUGGUCGAUCUCCAAGGCAUUCCUAAUAGAUCACCAAACAUUUCUGUAAAAAAAAACAAUAAUAAAGCCUUGUGUUCCUUGUGUUUUUCCGUUUCACUGUUGGUGGUAGGUGCACUUGAUUCAGCAUCAUUAGUUGCACCAGGAAGGCAGGGUUCCCAUUCUUUUACAAUUUCAUGCGUCUGAAGGUAGAAGUCAGACAACACAGCAGGCCCAAAGAGCAAAUCAAGUGCACCUAUAUGCCUACCACUGGCCAAUCAGGUAGCUCAGAUCACCGUGUGUGCA